GACGGGUUGAAGCAUGACCGUAAGGACAUGUGGACAGUAUGGGAGUGAGAAUGUUGGCAUGAGUAGCGAGAUGUGGGUGGGAAUCCCACAGGCCGUAAACCCAAGGUUUCCAGGGGAAGGUUCGUCCGCCCUGGGUUAGUCGGGACCUAAGCUGAGGCCGAAAGGCGUAGGUGAUGGACAACAGGUUGAUAUUCCUGUACUACCGAU
rnacentral:rRNA from 1 species